UACGGGGGGGGCAAGCGUUGUUCGGAAUUACUGGGCGUAAAGGGGACGUAGGCGGCCAACUAAGUCCGACGUGAAAUCCCAAGGCUUAACCUUGGAACUGCGUCGGAUACUGGAUGGCUUGAAUUCGGGAGAGGGAUGCAGAAUUCCAGGUGUAGCGGUGAAAUGCGUAGAUAUCUGGAGGAACACCGGUGGCGAAGGCGGCAUCCUGGACCAACACUGACGCUGAGGAGCGAAAGCGUGGGGAGCGAACAGG
rnacentral:rRNA from 1 species